CAUUACUCCGCGUGCGGGAAGAAGGCCUUCGGGUUGUAAACCGCUUUUGGCAGGAACGAAAAUGACGGUACCUGCAGAAUAAGGUGCGGCCAACUACGUGCCAGCAGCCGCGGUGACACGUAGGCACCAAGCGUUGUCCGGAUUUAUUGGGCGUAAAGAGCUCGUAGGCGGUUCAGUUAGUCGGGUGUGAAAACUCAGGGCUUAACCCUGAGACGCCACUCGAUACUGCUGGGCUAGAAUUCGGUAGGGGAGUGGGGAAUUCCUGGUGUAGCGGUGAAAUGCGCAGAUAUCAGGAGGAACACCGGUGGCGAAGGCGCCACUCUGGGCCGACAUUGACGCUGAGGAGCGAAAGCGUGGGUAGCAAACAGGAUUAGAUACCCUGGUAGUCCACGCCGUAAACGGUGGGCACUAGGUGUAGGUUCCAACCAACGGGAUCCGUGCCGUCGCAAACGCAUUAAGUGCCCCGCCUGGGGAGUACGGCCGCAAGGUUAAAACUCAAAGGAAUUGACGGGGCCCCGCACAAGCAGCGGAGCGUGUUGCUUAAUUCGAUGCAACGCGAAGAACCUUACCUGGGCUUGACAUGCAGAGAAAGCGGUAGAGAUACCGUGUCCUUCGGGGCUUUGCACAGGUGGUGCAUGGCUG
rnacentral:rRNA from 1 species